UUUUUCUACAACAACAAUUCAUCCACCUCGGUAGCGUGCUAGCCAACAUAAAACCACAAUGUUGAAGCUCUUUAGGCCAUUUUUGUUUAUAUUAACCUCAGUGUUUUAAACACACUGUCUGCGUAUUUACUAGUUACUCAAUUUAAUUUCAUAUUUACGUUAUUAGCUAUCUGGCUAACUAUCAUUAGGCUAAUGCUAGCUAGCUUGAUAUCAUCCUCGACCAUGAGCUCACGCUACUUCCCCCGUUCUGAAGAAGAGGUCUGUUGGACGGAGAAAGAAGUUCUUGUGAAAGAGGAGAAGGAAGAGGAGGAUGUCACAGUUAAAAAAGAAGUAGAGGGUGAGGCUGUUACAGUGAAAGAAGAGGAGAAAGACGUGAAAGAUGAAGAAUUUACAGUGAAAGAAGAGGAAGAAUCUUUAAGAGUGAAAGAGGAGGAUGCAGUUAUUGGAAUGAAGGAGAAGGGGGAGAUUACUGUCACGUUGGAGGAGACUGGAGAUCUGAUUAAUACCAGAGAAAGACCAGACUCGGAGGAACCAGAGACGUCCAAACCAGCAAGACGACGCAACUGCUCCCACUGUGGAAAGGGUUUUAACCAGUUAGGGGACCUGAAAAGACAUGAGAGGACACACACAGGCGAUAAACCUUUCCAAUGCUCCCAGUGUGUCAAGAGUUUUUCCUCUCGCAAAGAUUGUGUAGGAUCUUAGUUUUAUCACUCUUCCUGUGCAGCAGUAAAUUCAAACUUGUAGUUUAUUCACAGUUUAAAAAGGAUUCCAAAGUUUGUAAUUUCCACUUAACAUUUCAGACUUAAUUUGCCCUAACGUUAAAUGCAUCAAUCCCUACAAAAAAAAUGUCAUUAAUUAUAAUCGGCAUAAUCAUUCACAUUUCCUGUUGUUGCAGGAUUAUUUUCCUGCUGUAGCAAACUGGCUCACAUUAAUAUUUUCCCCAUGUGCACUGUAUUUUAAAUCAAAUCAAAUUCUAUUUCGCACAUACACCGAAUGCAACAGGUGUAGACUUUACCCUGAAAUGCUUACUUAUGAGCCCUUUCCCAACAAUGAUGAGUUAAAAAUAAAAAAAGGAAAUAAUAACACAAAAUAACAAUAAGGAGGUUAUAUACAAGAAGUACCUGUACUGAGUCAAUGUGCAAGGGUACGAGGUAGUUGAGGUAAUAUGUACAUGUAGGUAGGGGUAAAAGUGACUAGGCAGAUGACACAUUUUUUUAAUGUAUCAGAUAUGUUUUAUUUAAAAAAUACUAACAUUCAAAUCAUUGUUGUGCAAAUACAAACUAAACAUGUUCUGGGCAAAUGACAGGAUGCCACUUCACACAUGCAGCACAGAUGCCUUUUAAUACAAUUGCCUUUAUCAAUAUGAGGAAAACAGUUAAUUGUCAUGGAAACCAAAGAACGCAUUUAUUUAGCACAAGUAUUGUAGUACACUGCAGCUAUUCUGCUAUUACUGCGUCUAAAAUACCACAGUCGACUGCAGUUACUGCACUUUCAAAACGGCCAUCUUUUUUUGUCAGGGAAGACGACAUUUUUUACGUUAUUUGCCGCAUAGCCUAGCUUUUUCAGGACAAUUUCUUGAUAUCGGCAAAAAUGAAAAUGUGUCACUGACUCGCCCACGCAUUGCUGAAGACUUUGGAUUCGACUUUCCGAGGAUGUCCAUUUGCAACAGUCACGCGUAUUUAAGCCUCCCACUGCUGAAAAUGGGUUGUUGUCAUUUCAACAACAACAACUUGAAUACAAAUAAAUGUGAAGACGUUAGAUCAACGUGGAAAACUGAUUGGAUUUGCAAAAACUAUUAACAUAAGGCAUUUUCACCCAACUUAAAUCCAAUGACACGGUGAAAUGUUUUCUUGAUGUCAUGUCGAUUUCACUUUAGUUGACAAUUUAACCAAAUGUAAAUCAAAACUCGACGUUGAAAUGACGUCUGUACCCAGUGGGCUGGUUUGAAUUAGCUGCAGGUGUUGGAUCAACAUUCACCUUCGAGACAUACAUCUACGACGAGGAUCCAUAGUUUAGGAAAUGGAGGCGAGUAGUGCGGACGAAAUGGAGAAAGGGGUUGGUGAAGCAACAGUGCUGAUGGAGAAAGGGUUGGAGAAUCAACAGCUGUGAUAGAAUGAGGACAAUAUGGGUGUCGGUUCUGAUGAUAGAUAUAUAUUUUUUUUUUAGUCCCGUAUUUAACUAGGCAAAUUAGUUAAGAACAAUUCAUAUUUACAAUGGCCGCAAACAUGAGCCAAUUGUGAGCCGCCCUAUGGGACUUCCGAUCACGGCCGUUUGUGAUACAGCUUGGAAUCGAACCAGGGAAUGUAGUGACGCCUCUAGCACUGAGAUGCAGUGCCACUCAAGAGCCAAAAUAUCUGGCAGCGGCGGGAUUCGAACCCGCGCCUCCGAAGAGACUGGAGCCUUAAUCCAGCGCCUUAGACCGCUCGGCCACGCUACCGAUGAACAUAUGUGUUUUCAAUAUGAUUCAAGAUAUUGAUAUCCAUCAAAACCGGAUGUUUCCGGUUUUAUCAAUUCCGCAGAGGAUGAUAGUGUGUGUAUAUAAGACGUGUGGAAACCUUACAUUGAAAUUAUUUGUUAUGACAUUGUUUGACAGAAUCGUAUUUGCGUCACCCAAUUCAGACAGCAGAUGGCGAAGUGAGCAAUGCUUACGUGACGUGUAAUCUAGUGGACGGGAUGCUAAGAAGGGCAACACGGCUGCUUAUUCAUCCACCUCGAUAGCUUGCUAGGCAACAUGAAACCGAAAUAUUGAAGCUUUUUACACCAUUCUUGUGUAUAUUUGUCUCAGUGUUUUAAACACAAUUAUGUUAACGUAUCAACUGCUUAAUUUUAACAUAAUUUGCAUGUUAAAUGUGUUAACCCUGUUAAGAUUGAUACUGAGCCCGGCUCUAGGCUAGUCGCUAAUGCUAACCAGCUAAUGCUAGCUAGCUAACUAACAUCCCCGACCAUGAGCUCAGUAAGCUACUCCUCUGCUAAAGAAGAAGAGGUCUGCUGGACACAGAAAGAAGCUCUGGGGCUGAACAUUGUCGUAAAAGAGGAUAUUACAGUGAAAGGAGAGGAAGAAGCUUUCAGAAUUAAAAAGGAGGAAGGGGAGGCUAUCACAUUGAAAGAAGAGGAGGAGCAUUUUGGAGUGGAGGGAGUAACGGCUGUCACAGUGGAAGAAGAGGAGGUAGAAGCUUUCAGAAUAAAAAAGGAGGAAGAGGCAGCUGUUAGAGUGAAAGAGGAACCUUUUUGGGAGGAAGAGGAGUCUAUCUCAAUAAAAGAGAAGGUUGAAGACGUUCUGGGAGUGAAAGAGGAGGAGACAGAAGAUCUGAUUAACACCAGACAACGCUAGCCCGCCCCCUUCCACCCUACCAGAGUCCCUGUGUCGUGCCUCUCCCGGUAGCGCCUUACUGCUGGGUAUGAAGAGGUUGUCUGUGCUGCUGGUGGACUGCAGGAAAACAACAGGGCUGAGUGGAACUGUGAGAGGAGGAGAAGAGAAGAAAGGAUCAGAUUUGACACAUCAAAGAGAGAGAUCAGACUCUCACGCUGACAGCGGUAAGAGUCCUUCAGGGGAUCCAGACCCAGCGACGUCCAAACCAGCAGGACGACACCACUGCUCCCAGUGUGGAAAGAGUUUUAACCAUUUAGGGAACCUGAAAACACACGGGAGGACACAUACAGGAGAGAAGCCAUACCACUGCUCCCUGUGUGGAAAGCGAUUCACCCAUUCAGGGAGCCUGAAGGCACAUACAAAAAUACACACAGGGGAGAAGCCUUAUCAUUGCUCUCAGUGCGGAAAGAGAUUUAUCCAGUUAGGGAACCUGGAAUCACAUGAGAGAACUCACACAGAAGUAAAGAGGCUUUUCCACUGUUCUCAUUGUGAAAAGACUUUUAAGAAUUUAGGGAACCUGAAAGUGCAUGAGAAAUGCCAUACAGGGGGGGAAGCUUUUCUGCUGCUCCCAGUGUGGAAUGAUAUUUACCCAGUUUAGGCACCUGACAGACCAUGAGGUAACACACACAGGGAAGAUGCCUUACCACUGCUCCCAGUGUGGAAAGACAUAUUUCACGUCACAUGCACUUAGUCUUCAUGAGAGAACACACACAGUGCUCCCGCCUUUAUCUCAUAUUUUUGACUGAAAAUGUGUUUUUGUUUGUGCCACAUUAAAUCAAAUUGUAGAAAGUAUACUCAACAACAA